rnacentral:misc_RNA from 1 species
GCAAUAUUCAACAAGAAAAAUCCCUUUGAAGCAAGUGUAAAUUUAUGAGUGACUGAGGUGUAAUAUGUACGUUUACCCUGGUUUAUACAAAGAUCAAUUUAACAACACAAAACAGGGGCAAAAGGCUUAUCGCUAAUGCGAUCUAAUACAAUUAGAAAGGCCAUAAUAAGUUGUGUGUCAAAACCUGGUUGUACAGCCAAGUUAAAGACAUCAUCACCUAGCAAAAUUGUUGUGUUCACUCUUUUCCUAGCCAUCUUCGCUGCUAACUCUCCAUUGAGAGUCUUGAUCUUGCAAUCUCGAGCCCUGAAUGAUCCCUCAAUCCUGAAAUCUGGCGUCUGACCUUGUCUUGUUAGCCCUCCCAUGAAGAUCUCUGCUACGUCUUUGCCAGUGUUGAAAAACAUUGAUGUGCUCCUCAUUGAGAAUAUCUUCAUCUUUGGAUUCUUUCCGUACACAUCUUCUCCUUUGUAUGCAUUCCACUGGAAAUGCAUGCUCAGCAUCUGAGGUUUCAAAGUGAGCAAAGCAUUGCCGACUCCGUCCAUGAGAACAAGACCACCUCCAGCAUAACGAUUCUUCCUGGAAUAGUUGUCGACUCGAAAAACCAAUCUUCCAUGAGGAUCAAAGACGGUGAACCCAUCGGUUCCCUGGAAAGUCAUGCUAGAUCUCUUCCACACAGUUAGCAUACAUGGAUUGCGACGUUGGUGUUGGAAACCAUCUCCAUCGUCAUCAACGAUUCUUUCUUUCUUCUUCCAGAACAAAUCUUGGCUGCUGCAUCUCUUCUCUGCAGGAUAAAUCUUGGACAUGGUGGAAUCAAAAUCUAUUGGAGAAAUGCCUGUGGAGAGAAAAUUAGGAAAAGUGGAGUUGUUUUCUUGGACAAAUAGUGCUUGUGGGUUGGCGAUAGUAUCAUCGAUCACAAGGUAAAAAAUAUGGGUUGGCUUUGCUCAAGCUAGCUUGUUU